rnacentral:misc_RNA from 1 species
GAGUGGUGUUUGGUUUGUCACGUGUGGUUGGCUGCGGCGUUUGCAACAACUUCCAUGCUUUCAGACCUCUUCAGUUGUGCGGCAAGGCUUGUAUCGCCUUGUUCGUAUUGYGGGUUUUCUGUGUUGAAUACCUAAUCAAUGGUAUCGGUUGGAUUGAUCAAUGUUUCAUUUCGUCUGUCGUCGCAUUCGCGGCGUGAGACGAACCUCGAUGCGGUCUCUUUGGCCCACCUCGUCGAAGCACAUGCUUUGACGUUGUGGCACAUUGAGCAUUGCUUGGUCUCUUGUAUACGGAACAUAUAGUGGGCAUGGAUCUAACGAUUCUUGUUUGCCCUCAUGUUAGCGUAACGCUUCUCUUACACGACUUGCUCCACGUUUUAGCUCGUACGGACGUGGUGCUAUGUCGAAGAGGAAUGCUACCUGGU